CAGUCGCCGCGGGAAUACGUAGGGUGCAAGCGUUGUCCGGAAUUAUUGGGCGUAAAGAGCUCGUAGGCGGUCUGUCGCGUCGGCUGUGAAAACCUGAGGCUCAACCUCGGGCCUGCAGUCGAUACGGGCAGACUAGAGUUCGGUAGGGGAGACUGGAAUUCCUGGUGUAGCGGUGGAAUGCGCAGAUAUCAGGAGGAACACCGGUGGCGAAGGCGGGUCUCUGGGCCGAAACUGACGCUGAGGAGCGAAAGCGUGGGGAGCGAACAGGAUUAGAUACCCGAGUAGUCCCUGUCUCUUAUAA
rnacentral:rRNA from 1 species